rnacentral:rRNA from 1 species
UACGUAGGGUGCGAGCGUUGUCCGGAAUUAUUGGGCGUAAAGAGCUCGUAGGCGGUCUGUCGCGUCGAUCGUGAAAACUUGGGGCUUAACCCUGAGCUUGCGGUCGAUACGGGCAUGACUGGAGUUCGGCAGGGGAGACUGGAAUUCCUGGUGUAGCGGUGAAAUGCGCAGAUAUCAGGAGGAACACCGGUGGCGAAGGCGGGUCUCUGGGCCGUUACUGACGCUGAGGAGCGAAAGCGUGGGGAGCGAACAGG